rnacentral:rRNA from 1 species
AGACGGAGGGUGCAAGCGUUAUUCGGAAUCACUGGGCGUAAAGGACGCGUAGGCGGGUUGGCAAGUCAGAUGUGAAAUCCUACAGCUUAACUGUAGAACUGCAUUUGAAACUGCUAACCUAGAGUAUGGGAGGGGGAGAUGGAAUUAGUGGUGUAGGGGUAAAAUCCGUAGAUAUCACUAGGAAUACCGAAAGCGAAGGCGAUCUCCUGGAACAUAACUGACGCUAAGGCGUGAAAGCGUGGGGAGCAAACAGGAUUAGAAACCCUAGUAGUCC